rnacentral:rRNA from 1 species
UACGUAGGUGGCAAGCGUUGUCCGGAUUUACUGGGCGUAAAGAGCGCGCAGGCGGUCGGAUAAGUCGAAUGUGAAAGCCCCUGGCUCAACCAGGGAGGGUCAUUCGAUACUGUUCGACUCGAAGGCAGGAGAGGGAAGUGGAAUUCCGGGUGUAGUGGUGAAAUGCGUAGAUAUCCGGAGGAACACCAGUGGCGAAGGCGACUUCCUGGACCAAUACUGACGCUCAGGUGCGAAAGCUAGGGUAGCAAACAGG